CAUAUUCGAGUUAUCUAGGUCGCGAGUUGUUUCUCAUCAAUGGGGGUGUAGUCGACAAACUUUUUGUUCUGCGAGGCCCUCAAAUUCUACGGCACCAAUGGCUGCGACUUUGAGGAAUACCCUGGAGUAAUUCAAUGUGAACUCGACCUUCCACAGGGUGCUACUUAUAGCUCACACGCACGUUUGCAUCUUAGCGGAGGGAGAAAACUUUUGCAGCAACAGCCAAUGGGCAUACAUCCAAACGAUCAUAAGGGUAAGUUGCCAGAGGAUAAAUCUCUAUCAACCUCCAAAAUUAUUGGCACGGUAGUACCAGCAGCUUUUGCUGUCUGUUGUGUUUUGCUUUGUGCCUGGUUCUAUGGGAAAAGGAAGGCAACUGCUCACACAAUGCUUUCAAAGGACCUGAAUUCAAUGGAUUCGAUUUCCUCCUUUGACAGGAACUCUGUUUCAGAAAAGGUUUAUUCCCUAAGAAAAGUUCCUGGGCAGCCCAGCUCAGGUGCCCCCUAGUCCAAUGAGGGUUCCCCAGAGUCCUAGAUUUUCAAUGUCCCCAUCUCCACGACUCAAUAGACUUGGAUCGCUGCAUCUCAAUUUCAAUCAGGUCACUAAAGCAACAAACAAUUUUUC